rnacentral:rRNA from 1 species
GACGUAGGGGGCGAGCGUUGUCCGGAAUUAUUGGGCGUAAAGAGCUCGUAGGCGGUUUGUCGCGUCUGCUGUGAAAACUCGGGGCUUAACUCCGGGCCUGCAGUGGGUACGGGCAGACUAGAGUGCGGUAGGGGAGACUGGAAUUCCUGGUGUAGCGGUGAAAUGCGCAGAUAUCAGGAGGAACACCGGUGGCGAAGGCGGCUCACUGGCCCGGUACUGACGCUGAGGUGCGAAGCGUGGGGAGCAAACAGG